GCUGUUGAAGGAGAUUGACUGUAGGAUUUUCAUCACAGACCGAAGUCAACGACUUUCGCCAUGACUGUUAUAACCAGCCUGCUUCUGAUUACAGUGUUCUUAAAAAGUGUUAAAUGUCAGACACUGACUGAGUCAGAACCAGCAGUUAAAAAACCUGGAGAAUCCCACAAACUGACCUGUACAGCCUCUGGGUUCACAUUCAGUGACUACAGGAUGAGCUGGAUCAGACAGGCUCCUGGGAAGGGACUGGAGUGGGUUGCCUACAUAAGCACAUAUAGUACACCCAUCUACUAUUCCAAAUCAGCUGAGGGAAGAUUCAUUAUAUCCAGAGAUGACUCCAACAGUAAACUGUACCUGCAGAUGAACAGGCUGACAGCUGAAGACUCUGCUGUGUAUUACUGUGCCAGAGACCCACAGUGAGAGAAGUCAAGCCUGAGCCCUGACAAUAACUCUCUACAUGAAACUGUCACCACAGCAGACUUCAGGGAAUUCAUGU